GACGCUGUGGCCUAAUUGUUAGCGCGUUGGACUCCGGAUCGAGUGGUCCGGAUUCGAGCACUGGCAGGGGUCA